rnacentral:rRNA from 1 species
AAUAUUUCGCAAUGGAGGGAACUCUGACGCAUCGACCCCGCGCGAGCGAUGAAGGUCUUCGGCUCGUAACGCUCUGUCCUUGGGGAAGAAGGGAGCCGUAGGGCUUGUUGACGGUACCCAUGGAGGAAGCCCCGGCUAACCACGUGCCAGCAGCCGCGGUAAUCCGUAGGGGGCAAGCGGUGUCCGGAAUUACUGGGCGUAAAGGGUGCGUAGGCGGCCCUUUAAGUCAGAUGUGAAAGACCACGGCUUAACCGUGGGACUGCAUUUGAAACUGGAGGGCUUGAGUGUCGGGGAGGGCAGUGGAAUUCCCAGUGUAGCGGUGGAAUGCGUAGAUAUUGGGAGGAACACCAGUGGCGAAGGCGACUGCCUGGACGAUAACUGACGCUGAGGCACGAAAGCUAGGGGAGCAAACA